rnacentral:rRNA from 1 species
UACGAAGGGGGCUAGCGUUGUUCGGAAUUACUGGGCGUAAGGCGUAUGCAGGCGGAUCGUUAAGUCGGGGGUGAAAUCCCGAGGCUCAACCUCGGAACUGCCUUCGAUACUGGCGAUCUUCGAGUCCGGGAGAGGUGAGUGGAACUCCGAGUGUAGAGGUGAAAUUCGUAGAUAUUCGGAAGAACACCAGUGGCGAAGGCAGGUCUCUGGGCAAUAACUGACGCUGAGGAGCGAAAGCGUGGGGAGCGAACAGG